CUCUUCGCAGAUGACGUUCUGCUCACGAUCACUGAACCCCACACAUCCCUGCCAAAGUUCCAUGCCAUACUACAGGAAUAUAGCAAAUGUUCAUAUUACAAAUUAAACCUUUCUAAGACGCAAGCCAUGGGAGUGGGGAUGGACAGUGCAUACUUGUCGGCAUUAAAAAAACAAUUCUUCUAUGACUGGAGGGAUGACUAC